rnacentral:rRNA from 1 species
AGACUGAACGCUGGCGGAAUGCUUUACACAUGCAAGUCGAGCGGCAGCGCGGGGCAACCUGGCGGCGAGCGGCGAACGGGUGAGUAAUGCAUCGGAACAUGUCCAUUCGUGGGGGAUAGCCCGGCGAAAGCCGGAUUAAUACCGCAUACGCCCGAGAGGGGAAAGCCGGGGACUCGCAAGAGCCUGGCGCGAAUGGGUUGGCCGAUGCCCGAUUAGCUAGUUGGCGGGGUAACGGCCCACCAAGGCGAUGAUCGGUAGCUGGUCUGGAGAGGAUGACUCACGCCACACG